rnacentral:rRNA from 1 species
GAGUUUGAUCCUGGCUCAGAACGAACGCUGGCGGCAUGCCUAACACAUGCAAGUCGAACGAAGGCUUCGGCCUUAGUGGCGCACGGGUGAGUAACGCGUGGGAAUCUGCCUAUCAGUGGGGAAUAACGACGGGAAACUGUCGCUAAUACCGCAUACGCCCUUCGGGGGAAAGAUUUAUCGCUGAUAGAUGAGCCCGCGUACGAUUAGCUAGUUGGUGAGGUAAUGGCUCACCAAGGCUACGAUCGUUAGCUGGUCUGAGAGGAUGAUCAGCCACACUGGGACUGAGACACGGCCCAGACUCCUACGGGAGGCAGCAGUGGGGAAUAUUGGACAAUGGGCGAAAGCCUGAUCCAGCAAUGCCGCGUGAGUGAUGAAGGCCUUAGGGUUGUAAAGCUCUUUCGGGUGGGACGAUGAUGACGGUACCACCAGAAGAAGCCCCGGCUAACUUCGUGCCAGCAGCCGCGGUAAUACG